rnacentral:lncRNA from 1 species
UAGAGGCAUGUCUAGACUGACUGUACAUGUACCGUGUCUGGGUAUAAAACCUGCUUUGCAGCAACGAACCCAAGGAAUGAAGGUUUUUCUGUCCGAGGGUCGACGACCUAGACAAGAUAUUAGUCUAGACGUCUGGAAACCGGGUGUUUCUUUUAGACGGUCUAUAGCAUUAACAUUACCAAAUUUGGUGUUGUUAUCUCCAACGGUUCCAGAGAUAUGCCAAUUCUUAAAUUUAUUCAUGAGCUAUGCAGGCGAGCUACAGGGGCUAAUCUACGGACGAAUGUUUUAGUCCCAAGACCAAAGUGGGUUGAACUCGUCCGAGGUCUACAUGACUAGUCCUUGGACUAGGCGUGACUGAACGAACGUGAGGUUGGUUCAAACUCGUCCCCG